rnacentral:piRNA from 1 species
AUCCUUCAUGAAGCUGCUCAGGACU